rnacentral:misc_RNA from 1 species
GAUGAAGAACGUAGCGAAAUGCGAUAAGUAAUGUGAAUUGCAGAAUUCAGUGAAUCAUCGAAUCUUUGAACGCACAUUGCGCCCCUUGGUAUUCCGAGGGGCAUGCCUGUCCGAGCGUCAUUGCUGCCCUCAAGCACGGCUUGUGUGUUGGGCCUCCGUCCUCCUCCCGGGGGACGGGCCCGAAAGGCAGCGGCGGCACCGCGUCCGGUCCUCGAGCGUAUGGGGCUUCGUCACCCGCUCUUGUAGGCCCGGCCGGCGCUUGCCGACACAUCAAUCUUUUUUCCAGGUUGACCUCGGAUCAGGUAGGGAUACCCGCUGAACUUAAGCAUAUCAAUAAGCGGAGGA